UGUGCCUCCCUGGUCGGAAGGGUUUCCUUCCGAUCAACGAGGUACAUCCUUGUUGAUCGGAAGGAAACCCUUCCGGUCAGGGAGGUACA
rnacentral:miRNA from 1 species